GGGGACGAGAGAAAGGCCGCGCCUGCUGAUUGGCUGCGAGGCCCAGGCGCCACCAGCAUAAAAGGUAGGUUCCCGGUGCGGACGGCGGAGGAGGAUGCAGGCAAGUGUUGGUUAAGGAAUGCUUGUCAGUGUGGCCGACUUUGUCAGAUCAUAAGUUUCCACCGUAAUUCCCUUCCCCGUAUAGGAUCACUCCAGCUUCGUUACCAUGUCUUACACCACUUGGCCUCAUAAAACCGGCCCAAUCACUCUUUAUUUUUUAUUAUUUUUUUUACUGCUGUUCCUCUUCUUUUGUGGUGGUUAUAUCUAUAUCCGAAUCCACAUCCGGAGGAUUCUAGCAGAAGGCAUGGAUGACCCCAGCUGGAAUAACCAAGAUGGAUACAGCUGCCAAAGACGACGCGGACUCCAUCCUCCCCAAAAUCAACAGGUCUGCGGGCUAGCCCUAGCCCAGGCCUGAAUCAGGGAAAAGUGUGUUCACCCAAAUCCAAACUGGCCAUUUCUCUUGGAAACCUACUGGAAAGGAGCAGCAGAGCUGAUUUGUUUCCUGGGACCUAUCUGCUGACAUGGAUCCAUGAUUAAUUGUUGCUGUGACUACACUUGAAAUGGGCAUCAUGCUGACUUAUAAGAUGAUCAGUGAAAUCUGUGAUAGUUAUUUCCAACACUAAAGAGGUUACUCUGGUUUAACAUGUAAUUUACAGAUUCAACGUGUUCCUUGGUUUUACUUAAGACAAAAACCAAGACUCACUAUUCUAUCCUGUGAGCUACACAUAGUAGGUAUUAAUGAUUACCCUAUCUUGGAAGACCGGUUUUCCAAUCCACCUCUAGCUACUUGGUCUUGUGGCAUUCUUGCCAUUACAGUGGCUCCCUCCACUCUUGCCAAAUAUAAGCCUAUUUCCUUUAGUACCAGCCGGUCCAAAGGAUUCACUAAGCUACACAGAAAAGUGUAGAGUUGCAAAAUCAGAGCUGGAAGAUACCAAAUGAUCAUCUACUCCAACAACUUAGCAUCUCAAAGUCGGCAGCAUCUCUUAAGAGGUGGUAGUUAUACAACAGCUACAACACUCGACCUAGUGUCUAGGACUACUGGACUAGGAUCUAGUGACCUAGAUUUGAAUUCUGCAUAGGACAUCUGACAGCUAUGGCCAUGGGCAAACAUAUUCCUAAAGUAAUGAGUUUCUUUUAUCUUACAUAAGGUUAUAUGAAAAACACCAAUUAUGCAGUUUCUA
rnacentral:lncRNA from 1 species